CGCGGCUCUUUAACGGGAGCACUGAGCAGAGCCUCCCGCCUGCAUUUGCUCCAUAAGACGCACACACAUUUCCCCUUACUUUUUAGGAGGGGAAAAGUGCGUCUUAUGGAGCGAAAAAUACGGUAGGUCUGCAGCUCUUAGCAGCUCUGUGAGCGUCACGGCAUGGACUGUUGAUUUCCCAGCCCCUGGCCACAUGGAGGCUGCAUCGUGUGCUUUCCAUAGAGAGAAAGACUGUUGUCUCAUGGCCGGCUGUGAGCAGCGGUACCAUUAGUCAGAGGUGAAAAGGCUGCUCAAGUGGAGCCAAGCCCAUUCCCAGUGGCAGGCGGGACACAUCACCAUCAUAACAUGCAAGGACUGGGGUGGGGUCCCCAGGUGUCCAGCGCCAUUUCCACGAGACAGAAGAUGAUUAAAAAUCUGGUCCGUCAAGUCGGGUAGGGAAAUCCUUGCUGUCUUCAUUCCUCUGGUUAUUGUGGAGGGGUUUUAGCAAUGCUUACAUUGUUAUUGGGGGAGACAGUUCAUUGCUGGGACAUCAGCGAUGGGAAGCACAGAGAAGGAUUCCUUAUGUUCACUUGAUCCCCCUAAACAGCUGAAUCGGAUGGCAUUCUCACAGUCCACUCAACACCUUGCCAUUGUGUGCUGUUUUCAUCAUGCCAAAAUCGUCCUUUCCCCCCAUUUUGCCCCCCCCCACUUGCAGGUGGUGAAAUUUGGGGUGGCUAAGAUGAUUUCUGAGGCAGUGGUUAGGGAAAGGGAAACCUGACAGUUUCAGGUUCUAUUAGGUUCUCGUUUUUCCAAACUUAAGUUCAGUUCUCCACACUGGUUUGUUGUUGCAUUAAAAGAAACUCCUGAUGAAAAUUCACCAGCAUUUCCCCCCAGAUAUCUAUCUAUCUAUCAUCUAUCUAUCUAAUUAGUUGUUGUUGUUGUCUUCACCUUAAAGUCACAGGGCAGCUUACGACAAUUAAACCUGCUUUCCUUUGGACCAUCUCAGCGAGGCAAAGUGUAAAUAAGCUUCUUCUAGUAAUGCAAGCCCAGGGCGCAUGCCGGCCUUCCCCAACCCGACGCCCUCCAGAUGUUUUAAACAGUCCCAGGGAGCACAGGUAUGAUGACUGGAUUCUGCCUCCAGUGUUGGAAGCCUCUGCAUAGCCGUUGGUGGGAUUCACAAGUGGGGAGAGUUUUGCUAUUGUGCUCAGAUCCUGGUCGCAGGCUUCCCAUUGUGCAGAAGCAGCUCAGCAAUAAAUCACAUGGAGGCGAUGAGCAUGUUGAGGAGGAGGAUGUACGUGACUAUGACGUAAGUCACCAGCAGGAUGAUGAAGACUGACCUGAAGCGUGGGGAACUAAAGGUAGUGAAACUAACGGCAAAAUUAGGAAAUACAGGUAACUGUGUGAAUGUGCUGGGCAAACAGGUCCAUAAGAAAGAUAGACAGAGAGAGAGAGGGAGGGAGGGAGUUCAGAACAGCACAUUUUAAACUUAUAAAUCACAAGGAUCUCCUGUAAGGUAAAGGUUUGAUGUCCAUAGUUUGUAAUUCGGUUGAACUGAUGAAAAGGAACUGAUGGUGAUUUAGGGUGUAUAUGAAAAUAGGAGCAGCACUCUUAAUUACAGUGGUACCUCGGGUUACAGAUGCUUCAGGUUACAGACGCUUCAAGUUACAGACUCCGCUAACCCAGAAAUAGUACCUCGGGUUAAGAACUUUACCUCAGGAUGAGAACAGAAAUUGUGCGGCGGCAGCGGGAGGCACCAUUAGUUAAAGUGGUACCUCAGGUUAAGAACAGUUUCAGGUUAAGAACAGACCUCCGGAACGAAUUAAGUUCUUAACCCGAGGUACCACUGUAUUAAAAAUUGUAAGAGUUUCCUAUAACUUCAGUAGUUAUUAUUUACAAUUUGGGGCAACUGAGGCAAAUAAAUUGGUUAUAUUAAUUACUAUUGCUACUACUACAACGACUCUGAUGUGCCCUUCACCAGUGGGUCCCAGGGCAGCUUACAACAAUUUAAAAUUCAGUAUUAAAAACAUUAAAAAAACAAAUUACAACCACAGGAAUAGGUUGGAUCCUGAAACACAUCUCUCAAGUGUCAAAUGCUGGAUGCUCGUAUGUGGAGAGGGAGUUAUGCAGCUUAGGGACUGCCACAGAGAAUGCCCUCUCCUGCGCCACCGCCUCUGAACAAUUAAGGAUGCAUUUACUCUCUUGGGAGAUUUCCCCCCAGGUUUUAAU